AUGUCCCCGCUCGCGCCCGCGUGCCGAACUGAGCCGCAGCGCAGACCCUACAUUCUCACUCCGAGUUGGGACUGCUCCGGUCCCCGCGCGUCACCCGAGCUCGACCCUCGGGGCUCCGAAGAGACCCCUCUACCGGCACCGUUCGCUGUCCGCGUGGCCGGCCCCGCUCCGUGUCUGGGCUUCCCCGCCCCGGUUCCGGCUCCGGCGAGGGUGAUGAAACAAUCCAGUUGUGAUUCAGCCAGCUCAGAGCUCCCUAAGCCUGAAAAAGAGGCCCAGCCAGAUGUCGAGCCACACUCAACACCCCACUACAGGAGGCGGAGGCCAAGUUCAGAUCCGGAUGGGGGCUUGAGGCUGAGACUGAGCCCCUGGGGGCUGAAUCAGGGCCUGAGGCCAAGGCCAAGUCCUUGGGGGCCAACCCCAGGUCUGGAUCGGGGCCUGAGGCCACGGCCCAGCCAUUGGACUUCGUGGUGGCAACAGAACAGGACGGCACCGUGUGCUGGCCAAGCGAAACAGGAGUGAGGAGAGCCGGGGCCCAGGUGAAAAGGGGGUGAAGCUACGUUUGGGAGCAUCCUUUGGGUCUGAGUCAAUGCCUCCGUGCUACUGGCGCGGCUGGGCGUGUGCAGCUGACGGCGCUGCGGGCCUCCGUCACCUCGCCGCUGCCCACCGAGACCGUGUCGGAGACUGGCGGCAACGUGGCCCGCCUCCUACUGUUGCCUUCCGUGCAGCGCGACGUUCACCCAGGACUGGCAGCCCUACCGGCCACGUGAGAGCAACCUGCGCCUGCUGGUGGCCAAGGGCCUGGAGUGGCACGUAGACAGCUCCGCGCGCCCGCGUUUACCCACGCUGUGCACGCUCCCCUUCCCCAUCCUGCACGGCGGUGACGGCACGUGGCGCUACCUCAACGUCGACGCCGUGCGCAGCGCUGGUGCGCAGGCGCAGAGCCGGCUUCUGCGGCACCUCUAGGGCCAGGCCCCGCGCCUCGCCGGUCUCAACGCCAUGCGCCAGCUUUUCCUGGCGUCCCAGUUAUGGUCGCAGCUGGCUGACCUCUGCCAGGCCGGCUUGGGGCUCGAGCUGGUCAAGGGUUACACAGAACAGUACCCGCUGGAGGCCGACAUCUAGGGCCUCUCCUCUCGGAGGCGAGAGGAGCAUUUAGAUCCGUCCAUUUUCGCUGCUCUCCAGAAAGCCCCGCCCCCCAGUGUUUGCAAGCUCCGCCCCCUCCCCCUACUCUCCGUGGUCUGCUGGGAAGCCUGCUUACCCUUACCGGAGCCCCCCCCCCCCCUUUUAGCCUUGCCUCUCUGCCAUCUCGCCUCUAGCGCGCCCACUCUAUGGCCCACAACUGGAUCCGAUCGCCGGGUUUGGGGGAGGCCCUUGCUCUGCUAUGGUCCGCCCGUUCCCCUCACGGGCCAAAGAAUGGGUUCCUUCACAGGCUUCAGAGCCUUUUCUUGUCCGUCGCCCUGGGCUGGCGGGGAACUCCGUCCUUCCUGGCUUCUCCCUUCUGCCUCCUCGUGGGCGGAAGCGGGUAGAGGGAUGUGCAAGGUCCAGCUGCCCAACACGUCUUACUUUUCUUCCUCCCGCCCUUUCUCAAGCUCUCAGAGCUUGCCCCGCGCUCCCCUCCUGCCGCCCUCUCAGUCUCUUGCACCUCUACAUCAGUGUCCCCUCUCUCCUUCUCUCUGAGCUCCCCUCCUCCUAUUCCCCGGACCCCCCCCCCCUCCAGACACUUAGCUCCUCAUUGCCCAUUUGUCUGCUCCUCCCUUCCUCUUCCCCAUGAACUCUUCAUCACCCGCCCUGUGUGCAAUACGGAGAGAGAGCCUGUAAGUGAAACAAUCAUAAUGCCCUGUUGACCCUCUGGUGACACAUCUUUACAAGCCUGCCCCCCUGAUGGGGUUCGUCCAACUUUGCACGAUGUUGCUAUUUCCCGGGCCCCCUUCCUAUAUCCCCAACCAGUGCCUGAAGCAGGACAUGAAACAGGGGGCUUGAGCUGGGAAGGGCAGUUUCCUCAGCCCAGUAUGGGGCUGUCUUCUGGCUCUAACCAGGCUUCCUUCUAGUGCAACUGGAACCCCUGCCUCCAGAUAUUUCUGGACAUCCCUCCCUUCCUCUGGUUCCUUUAUGGGUUUUUUUUUUUUUUUUUUUGGACUUUAGCAGUUUUCUAUUUCAAUGCAAGUAGUAACAGCUGCAAUUGCACAGCGCUGUCUUCUACACUGGAUCCUCACAUCUACCACCGAGGGAGGAAACAGGCUCAGAAAGAUCAAAGUGACUUCCAAGUCAUUCAGAGCAGCUGGGAGCCUGGCAGGGACUGGAGUUCAGGUCUGUCCCAAGCCAGAGCAUGCCUCAGAACCUCACUCGUUGUGGCGGUGACUGUUUGAACUUCUUGUUGGACGAUGGACAGUUGCUAGGGAUUUGUUGACAGUAAGCACAGGGGUCGCUGGGGAUGGAAUCAGAGACGUGGGCAGAGGAGGGCGCCAGGAGGUGGAAGAAGGUGGGCGCAGAGGACAGCCGCUGCUCCAUCACUUCCCCCAGUUCCGGUUUUGCUGUUGUGCUUGUCUGCCUUCAGCGCCUGGCCAUGCUGCCACCCUCCCUGUCACUUCAGCCGUGGCUGUAUUACAAUAAAAAGGACCCUUAGCCCA
rnacentral:lncRNA from 1 species